UACAGAGGUCUCAAGCGUUGUUCGGAUUCAUUGGGCGUAAAGGGUGCGUAGGCGGCGCGGUAAGUCGGGUGUGAAAGUCUCGGAGCUUAACUCCGAAACUGCAUUCGAUACUGCCGUGCUUGAGGACUGGAGAGGAGACUGGAAUUUACGGUGUAGCGGUGAAAUGCGUAGAUAUCGUAAGGAAGACCAGUGGCGAAGGCGGGUCUCUGGACAGUUCCUGACGCUGAGGCACGAAGGUCAGGGAGCAAACGGG
rnacentral:rRNA from 1 species